UGAAGGGCUGGGGCUGUUCGAGCCGCAGAGCGUGCAAGCAGAGACGGUGGCUGCGGAGAGGAGGACACUCACCCGCCGACCCUUGUAAAGUGUCCGGCCGGGCGCCCCCAGCGCAGGAGCAGCCGAAGGGGGGAGCUCAGGCUGGGCUCGCCACUGCGGGGACGCAGCGCCCGUCUCUGCCGCCGUCCUCCCCUUCAUCCUCCUCCUCCGGGGGAUCGCCCUCGGCCCUCCGCGGAGCCGCCCGGCGGAGCCGUGCCCCGCCGGAGGGCGGCGGCGGGCGCCCAGGUGCCCUCGGCUCUCCGCGACCAUGGCGCUGUUCGCCGUGAGGCGGUGGGCGCCCUAAAGCGGCGGUGGGGCGGGCGGUGGGGCGGGGAAGGCUGCCCCUCACAGCCCCGCCUCGGCCCGGGGCCCUCCUGAGGAGGUUCCCCUCUCCCGGGAGAAGAAAAGCUAGUGGGACAACUACUGGAAAUUAACAAGGAGGAGGAGGAAAAAAAAAAAAGAAAAAGCUCUUCUGUGGGACAUCCUCAAAGCUCAGCAUCACGCCGGCUGUCUGAGUUUGUAUAAAGCCCGCCACGCUUGUGAACAUCGCCACAGCGGCAGGAGGAAAGCCUGGCUGCGGCCGCUGCACCGAAGUCCUGUGUGCUUCAGAGGCGCCUUGGCUUUCUGGCUGGAAGAUGCUUCCUGCAGCAGGACCGUGUUGCUCCUGAGGGGCUGUGGAAGAUGCCUGCUUUUGGGAUUACGCGUGGAGAAAGGCCAUCGGUCAAGGGGAGAGCUGGCUGGUGAAACUGUCUGACUUUCUCCCCCUCUGGGGAAGUGGCUUCAAUGGCUCCAGCUCCCAGGAGAAGCAGUAGAAAAGAUGUCAACGCCUUGCCGAGCAUGUCCUCAACUUUCUGGGCUAUCAUGAUCCUGGCCAGUCUACUAAUCGCUUACUGCAGUCAACUGGCUGCAGGUACAUGUGAGAUUGUUACUUUGGACAGAGAUAGCAGUCAGCCCCGAAGGACUAUAGCCCGACAAACAGCUCGCUGUGCAUGUAAAAAAGGACAGAUUGCCGGUACAACAAGAGCAAGGCCAGCCUGUGUUGAUGCACGAAUUAUCAAAACAAAACAGUGGUGUGAAAUGCUUCCAUGUUUAGAAGGAGAAGGCUGUGAUUUGCUAAUCAAUAAAUCAGGCUGGACCUGUACACAACCAGGAGGUCGGAUAAAGACAACCACGCCUGUCUGAGGCCAUGUGGUUUGGAGAUCUGAUCACUAGUCCGAAAAGGAAAGGCUGUGUGCAAGAUUUCUGGGGUGUUUUUUCCUGGAAAAGGUCUCCUGACAAAUGCAGCAACACAGAAUCCUCGUAGGAGUGGUUUAGGCUCUGUGUGAGCUACUUAACUUAGUCAAGUUUCACUGCUGUGGAUCAUCAUCCGUUCUAUGUCAUCAACUCAACUGUCUGUAUCUUUGUAUCUCAUGAAAGACAGCAUAAUUCCUCUACAUUAUGAGCUAAAGUUUGUUCUACCAUACUAAGGAUCGCUGGACUAAGGAAUAUAGAAAAAAGAGAUAUGCUUGGGCAUUAGCAAUACAAAAAAAGUUCAUGGUUAACGUUUCAUCUGCGUGAUACACCACUGCUGGACUUGCUGUUAUCUACAUGUUUUAAUCCGAAGAGUCUGCUACAAUGAAGAGUAUCAUCCCAAUCAGCCUUAGAGAAGACUGUUUUGCCUAUGGGAGGACACUGAGGUGCAAAAGAGAAACUCUUCUUGUGCCCUAAACUGUCUGAAUUGCUUUUAUUUUCUUAUACUUUCAAUAUAUACAAUAGACCAAAGAGCAAAAUCUAUUUUAAAGUGGACACAAUCUUACUGUUAACAGAGUUAUGUCGUUAAAUUGUAGGGGGUCUCCACAAAGACAUGAUUCCAGCUUUCACAAAGCUGAGCUGUUGUCCAGCAGAAGUCUUUAUGGAAAGCUGCAGUAAAAACUAACCCAGAGACCAGCUCUUGAAAUGCCACUUUCGAGAGAACAUAAUGGAGCACUGAGAGGAAAUGACCUAUGUUUGAAAAACUUGGACAAAAAGAACACAAACUGUCUACACGGCACCUUUAUUCCUCUGUACUUAGAUUGACUUUCUCGUACUAAAAUCAUUUUCAGUUUUAACCAGUUAAACAUGCCUCUUCUACAGUUCCAUUUUUGAUAGUUAAAGUUGGAUAAUACAGUAUUUGCAAAGAGCAUGUUUGGUCAUCUGUGGCCUAUGUCUCAUCUGAUACACCAUUUAGCAACAGAAAGCAAAUUAAAGAGAAAACAAAAGUAACACUUGUUUGAAAGAGAUCAUUAAAUGUAUUUUGAAAAGCCUAAAGUUAUAUAUUUAACAGUUUUUAUAUGUUGUAUAUUUGUAGAAAAUCCUAUUUAACAAUUAACGUGAUAACUCUGACAGUCAUGACAAGUGGUUCAGAGUUAAGUUGUGUUUUAUUACUUCAGUUGUCUCUGAAGUGACUGGUGUCGUUUGCUUUCUUCCAUUGGGACAUUCUGGAUGUGAAGCAUGACCAGAGAGGACUGUGUAGAAAAAGCAAAGAAUAAUGUUGUUUAUAUUACAUAAAUGCAUUCAACCAUUGCACUGUUGGAAGGCAUUUUUUAUUUUUUAUUUUUUUUUGUCUUUACGUACUGAUAAAAAUAGAGUGUAAAAUAUUUUACUCAUUGCUCUUCAUAGCAAGGUUUGUUUCUCUCUCUCUCUCUCUGUCCUACUUUUAUGUAAUACAGUGUAAGGGUCUGUUUGCAGCCUGUUCCUUGAUCCCAUUUUCAGUGUUUUACCUCAUUGUUAGAAAGUCCACUGUUUCAGCAUUAUUGGUUAGUGAAAAUUUAGCAAUGAUGAGGGGAAAAAUAUGAUAAACCAGAAAAACAAACAAACAAACAAAACUUGCUCCCUUUUAAUAUACCUUUCUAUGUGUAAGUUUCGUACAUACCGGUAUGAUGCACUCAAGAAGGAAGCUUCAUUUCCUCCUGGCAAAUGUAUUAAGGUUUCAAGUAUACUACCUAAUACUCCAAUUAACUUUUAGUAUUAUGCUAGUUCUAUGCUACUAAAGAAAAAUAUAUAGAGAUUGUUCAAGUGACCAUAGAUGAAAGUUUCAAAAAUGAAAAGUUGAUUAAAGAAUUUUUUUUAAGGCCUGUUCUAAUACAGCCCUCUUCUUACUUAAUGAAGAGGUUACAGGAAAGAUGAACUAUAGAUGAUUUUGUCUUCAAGUAAAAUAAAUAUAUACAAAUUAUUAUUUAAUCUUAGGAUUUUGACCAGUGUCAAGGUAGCAAUUAAAGCCCAGCCACUUGAAAAGUGUUAUGGACUGACUGCACUAUAAAUUACCAAUGUCAGGUUUAAAAUGUCAUGCAAUAAAUGAUGGUAAAUACAUUUACUGUAUAUGUAGACCUCAAGAGCCAGAUCCCUCACUCUACCAACUCUCUGUUUUGAUUUAUUUUAAAGGGAGUGUAGUAGCCUUAUUUAGUUAAUACAGAACAAUUAAAGAUGUUACAUCAUUUUUUUUUGCUUUACAGUAUUCAGUUUUGUGUUGGUUCAGCUAAAUUAUGAAAAAUAAAGAAAAUCCUUUUAUAAGUG